UGGUUCAAAAACAACCAGUUAACAAUAUGGAAAGGGAGAAAAACUGCAUUGUAAUUGUUUCCUGGGGAGCUGUGUGAAAUCUGUCUCAAACGAGUUCUUGAUAUACCAAUUUAAGGAUGAUGAUGAAGAUAAUACCCAGAGAGAAGAGCAGCGUGCAGGACCUCUCACAGUACCACAGCAGGAAAGUGAAGAUACCACCCAAAGAGAUGAGCUGAGAGAAGAACCUCUCACAGUGCCACAGGAAAGUGAUGAAGAUGAUAGCCAGAGAGAAGAGGAGAGAGCAGAACCUCUCACAGUGCCACAGG